UGCAAGUCGAACGAACCUUCGGGUUAGUGGCGGACGGGUGAGUAACGCGUGGGAAUCUGCCCUCAGGAGGGGGAUAACGGUUGGAAACGACCGCUAAUACCCCAUAUGCCGAUAGGUGAAAUGAAUUUCGCCUGAGGAUGAGCCCGCGUCUGAUUAGCUAGUUGGUAAGGUAAAGGCUUACCAAGGCUUCGAUCAGUAGCUGGUCUGAGAGGAUGAUCAGCCACACUGGGACUGAGACACGGCCCAGACUCCUACGGGAGGCAGCAGUGGGGAAUUUUCCGCAAUGGGCGAAAGCCUGACGGAGCAACGCCGCGUGAGGGACGAAGGCCUCUGGGCUGUAAACCUCUUUUCUCAAGGAAGAAGAUAUGACGGUACUUGAGGAAUAAGCCACGGCUAAUUCCGUGCCAGCAGCCGCGGUAAUACGGGAGUGGCAAGCGUUAUCCGGAAUUAUUGGGCGUAAAGCGUCCGCAGGCGGCCUUUCAAGUCUGCUGUUAAAGCGUGGAGCUUAACUCCAUUAUGGCAGUGGAAACUGAUAGGCUUGAGUAUGGUAGGGGCAGAGGGAAUUCCCGGUGUAGCGGUGAAAUGCGUUGAUAUCGGGAAGAACACCAGUGGCGAAGGCGCUCUGCUGGGCCAUUACUGACGCUCAUGGACGAAAGCCAGGGGAGCGAAAGGGAUUAGAUACCCCUGUAGUCCUGGCCGUAAACGAUGAACACUAGGUGUCGGGGGAAUCGACCCCUUCGGUGUCGUAGCUAACGCGUUAAGUGUUUCCGCCUGGGGAGUACGCACGCAAGUGUGAAACUCAAAGGAAUUGACGGGGGCCCGCACAAGCGGUGGAGUAUGUGGUUUUA
rnacentral:rRNA from 1 species